CCCACCCUCUCGCCGCUAUAUAGCCAGGUCUCUCCCGUGACUUUUCCCUCUCCCAUCUUGAGCUGAUGCCAAGGGAACAAGCUGCACCGUGAGCCGGGUGUAAAUGUGGUGAUGGGGGAAAAGGGGGUGCGUCGUCGCCACCCUGUUCCUUGGUCGUCGAGUAUCGGCCGUGGUGCAUUGUCGGGCCAUGAUGAACUCGUCUAUGGCGGUGGGUAAUGCGGGGGACCUCUGUGAUCACGCAGAUUUCUCGCCAGAGUACAUGCGCCACCGCAGGACUGCCCUUUGCCAUGGUCGGGGGCCGUCGGCAUGUCUACCCCGGUAAGACCCCUUCCAUCGUGUUCGUCUAGUGUAGGGCAUCGUGUUCGUCGGCAUGUUCGAAUCAAAGCUUUGUGCGCCGUGCCAAGAAACGGGGCAGUCUGGCCAUGGAGCCACCGUGCCGGUGCUGGGCGUGGUGAUCGGAGUGGUCGGCGGGGGGAGAUGAGGGAGAAGGGUAGUACUGCCAUCGGAUGCAUGACCAAUGGAUGAGAUUAGAGCCCGCAUACCUAUUCGUUGCAUUGGAUGACAACCGUGGAUCUCCAAUCUAUCAGCCACAGUCACUUACCCCUCCAUCGAUUAAUAUCAUCCGUCGAUCACGGAUCCUACCGCCACUACUCUGUAUCGGUUCACUGAUCUAAUCGUAGCCCUUGAUGAAAGAUCCAACGGCUGUGGCUCCAUGAUACCCCUUCGGCCGGGCUUUCUUGCAUAAGAGCCCCUGCCCUUUUCACAAAUCAACCCACCAUCGUAGUUAAGUGAAGAAAGAUUUAACUAAAGCCAAUUUAUGAUUUAACCCCGAGUUUUAGAAAUUAGUACUCGCAGUCCAUAAUCCCAGAAAUUCAUAAAAUGAAGAUAGAAAAUACUUUUAACAUAUAAAUAAUCCUCGAAAAACUUUGGAAAUUCGUAUCUUCUUUAUUUUAACUUCGAUUUGAUCCAUUCGAAUUGUGUUAGCUUCAUAUAAAUUUUUAUUACACAAUAACAACAUUAAUUAUACGAUAUCACAUACUAUUAUAAUUAGGUAACUAAUUUGAUUAAUCUGUGUUUGUUGGAUUAGCUUCUCUAAUAUUAAUAUAAUAUUUUGAUUUUAUAGUUAUAAUAAUUUGAUUAAAAGAUAAUCUAUAAUCAAGUAAUAACUUAGAUUAAAGUUGAACGAAGAUAUUUAUAUAUUUUCUCACAUAACUUAUGCUAAUAAAAAUAUAGUUUUAUUAUUUAAACACAUAAAACUUCGGAAAAGCAUAACUUUUAACCAUAACUCUGAUUUUAGUGGUUUUCGAACCUAUGAUCUCGUAGCAGCGGUAGAAUAUUCUUACGCAGUUUGUUCUUAUGCUUUGGUGUACUGUUAUAUUUUUAUGUACUCCUUGUCUAUUUGUAUGUAUUGCUAUGAAUAGCGGUGAGGUCACGAGAAUCUGAAGACUAACUUGGUACCUGGGAUCUCAAGUCUAAGGCAAGUUGUGCCCUUGAUCACUUUUCUUUAUCUAUACCUAAUAAGGUUCCUGUUAAUCACUGUGACAUGCUUAGGUUAAUUUGAUGGGACCUAAUAGUUUCCCUAGCAUUGUUAUCCCCCACCUUGCAAACAGAUGAAAUAUUGCGUAGAUUUGCUAUUGCUCUACCUAGUUUUGGGAAAUUAAUGUUUUAUUAUGAUCAUGUUCCAGUUAUAUUGUUGUUUUAAUUACUGUUCAUAAUAAGAUCAUCAUAAUUGGAACAUGGAGAACCACCCGGGAAAACAGUGCUACCACAAGGGUGGUAUGGGACGCCCUUGGCUGACUAAUUAGGAAAGCUAGUGGAAGACAACCUUAUCCGAAAGGGCAAGGGCAGUAGAGGACCUGCGUAUAGGGAGGUUCUCGAGUCGAUCAUGCUGCGAUGGCUUUUCGGACGAUGGAUUCCUAUAUUGCCCUUCUCAGAAACCGUAGCAGGUUUCUGGAAGCCAGUGGAACUUUGUAAAGGCCUCGUAGUGGUACCCUGCCUCAUCUCCUCAGCAAAGAUGAAUGAGAAGUCACGAUCCCUUGGCAAAUGGGUAACACGACUUGUGGGUAAAGAUGUGCAACCUCUGUAGAGUGUAAAACCGGUACAUCUGCCGUGCUCACGGUCAUGUGCGGCUCAGUCACUCACAUGAUUAAAUUAUGGAAUUAAACUUAACUUGUCAUAUGCAUUGCAUUGUGGGUGCUAUUAUUAAUUUGAUCUCUUAUUUAUUUGGGUCGGUAUCUAAUUAUACUUAGUAACUACUAAUAAAAUUUUGACCAACUUUAAAAGCAAUGCUUAGAUUCAACCAUCUCCUUUGGUAAGCCUUACACUUCACAUGAGCUCCCACCUUUGGUGAGUUCAUGCACAUUAUUCCCCACAACUUGUUGAGUGAUGAACGUGUGUGAGCUCACCCUUGCUGUACUCAUAUCCCCCAGGUCAAGAACAGGUACCGUCAAGAUGAGGAGCAUGAAGGUUGUUGCGAUGAGUUUGUGAGAGGUCUAGGUCAUCGUCUCCCAGUCAACUAUGCUUGCUGGAUCGUUGUCUCCUUAUGAUGUAAUUAUUUAAUUAUUUUGUAUAGAACUCCGUUAUAUAUUAAAGAUGUGACAUUCGUUUCUGUACCAUGAGUCAUCAUAUGUGUGAGACUUGGUCCCAGCACACUUGGUGAAGAUCGCGCCCAGUUUGGUGCCCCUAAAACACGGGUGUGACAUAUCUUGAGAAGGUUGGAUUGGUUUGGCUUUGCCUUUCUUGUCAUACAAGGC
rnacentral:lncRNA from 1 species